rnacentral:rRNA from 1 species
GAUAAACGCUAGCGGCAGGCCUAACACAUGCAAGUCGGGCGGUAACAGGAGUAGCAAUACUUGCUGACGAGCGGCAGACGGGUGAGUAACGCGUAUGCAACCUUCCCCCCGCACGGGGACAGCCUUCCGAAAGGAGGAUUGAUACCCGAUAGCCUCAUCAGGCGGCAUCGCCUGAUGAUUAAAGAUUCAUCGGCAGGGGAUGGGCAUGCGUGGCAUUAGCUAGACGGCGGGGUAACGGCCCACCGUGGCGAUGAUGCCUAGGGGUUCUAAAAGGAAGGUCCCCCACAUCGGUACUGAGACACGGACCGAACUCC